rnacentral:rRNA from 1 species
GGUUAAGCGACUAAGCGUACACGGUGGAUGCCCUGGCAGUCAGAGGCGAUGAAGGACGUGCUAAUCUGCGAAAAGCGUCGGUAAGGUGAUAUGAACCGUUAUAGCCGGCGAUGUCCGAAUGGGGAAACCCAGUGCAAUUCGUUGCACUAUCGUUAACUGAAUACAUAGGUUAACGAGGCGAACCGGGGGAACUGAAACAUCUAAGUACCCCGAGGAAAAGAAAUCAACCGAGAUUCCCCCAGUAGCGGCGAGCGAACGGGGAGCAGCCCAGAGUCUGAAUCAGCUUGUGUGUUAGUGGAACGGUCUGGAAAGUCCGACGGUACAGGGUGAUAGUCCCGUACACCAAAAUGCACAGGUUGUGAACUCGAAGAGUAGGGCGGGACACGUGGUAUCCUGUCUGAAUAUGGGGGGACCAUCCUCCAAGGCUAAAUACUCCUGACUGACCGAUAGUGAACCAGUACCGUGAGGGAAAGGCGAAAAGAACCCCGGCGAGGGGAGUGAAAAAGAACCUGAAACCGUGUACGUACAAGCAGUGGGAGCACCUUCGGGUGUGACUGCGUACCUUUGUAUAAUGGGUCAGCGACUUAUAUUCUGUAGCAAGGUUAACCGUAUAGGGGAGCCGCAGGGAAACCGAGUCUUAACUGGGCGUUAAGUUGCAGGGUAUAGACCCGAAACCCGGUGAUUCUAGCCAUGGGCAGGUUGAAGGUUGGGUAACACUAACUGGAGGACCGAACCGACUAAUGUUGAAAAAUUAGCGGAUGACUUGUGGCUGGGGGUGAAAGGCCAAUCAAACCGGGAGAUAGCUGGUUCUCCCCGAAAGCUAUUUAGGUAGCGCCUCGUGAAUUCAUCUUCGGGGGUAGAGCACUGUUUCGGCUAGGGGGUCAUCCCGACUUACCAACCCGAUGCAAACUACGAAUACCGAAGAAUGUUAUCACGGGAGACACACGGCGGGUGCUAACGUCCGUCGUGAAGAGGGAAACAACCCAGACCGCCAGCUAAGGUCCCAAAGUCAUGGUUAAGUGGGAAACGAUGUGGGAAGGCACAGACAGCCAGGAUGUUGGCUUAGAAGCAGCCAUCAUUUAAAGAAAGCGUAAUAGCUCACUGGUCGAGUCGGCCUGCGCGGAAGAUGUAACGGGGCUAAACCAUGCACCGAAGCUGCGGCAGCGACACUAUGUGUUGUUGGGUAGGGGAGCGUUCUGUAAGCCUGCGAAGGUGGCCUGUGAGGGUUGCUGGAGGUAUCAGAAGUGCGAAUGCUGACAUAAGUAACGAUAAAGCGGGUGAAAAGCCCGCUCGCCGGAAGACCAAGGGUUCCUGUCCAACGUUAAUCGGGGCAGGGUGAGUCGACCCCUAAGGCGAGGCCGAAAGGCGUAGUCGAUGGGAAACAGGUUAAUAUUCCUGUACUUGGUGUUACUGCGAAGGGGGGACGGAGAAGGCUAUGUUAGCCGGGCGACGGUUGUCCCGGUUUAAGCAUGUAGGCGGAGGUUCCGGUAAAUCCGGUACCUUUUAACGCUGAGGUGUGAUGACGAGGCACUACGGUGCUGAAGUAACAAAUGCCCUGCUUCCAGGAAAAGCCUCUAAGCAUCAGGUAACAUCAAAUCGUACCCCAAACCGACACAGGUGGUCAGGUAGAGAAUACCAAGGCGCUUGAGAGAACUCGGGUGAAGGAACUAGGCAAAAUGGUGCCGUAACUUCGGGAGAAGGCACGCUGGUGUGUAGGUGAAGUCCCUGCGGAUGGAGCUGAGACCAGUCGAAGAUACCAGCUGGCUGCAACUGUUUAUUAAAAACACAGCACUGUGCAAACACGAAAGUGGACGUAUACGGUGUGACGCCUGCCCGGUGCCGGAAGGUUAAUUGAUGGGGUUAUCCGUAAGGAGAAGCUCUUGAUCGAAGCCCCGGUAAACGGCGGCCGUAACUAUAACGGUCCUAAGGUAGCGAAAUUCCUUGUCGGGUAAGUUCCGACCUGCACGAAUGGCGUAAUGAUGGCCAGGCUGUCUCCACCCGAGACUCAGUGAAAUUGAACUCGCUGUGAAGAUGCAGUGUACCCGCGGCAAGACGGAAAGACCCCGUGAACCUUUACUAUAGCUUGACACUGAACAUUGAGCCUUGAUGUGUAGGAUAGGUGGGAGGCUUUGAAGCGUGGACGCCAGUCUGCGUGGAGCCAACCUUGAAAUACCACCCUUUAAUGUUUGAUGUUCUAACGUUGGCCCCUUAUCGGGGUUGCGGACAGUGUCUGGUGGGUAGUUUGACUGGGGCGGUCUCCUCCCAAAGAGUAACGGAGGAGCACGAAGGUUAGCUAAUCCUGGUCGGACAUCAGGAGGUUAGUGCAAUGGCAUAAGCUAGCUUGACUGCGAGCGUGACGGCGCGAGCAGGUGCGAAAGCAGGUCAUAGUGAUCCGGUGGUUCUGAAUGGAAGGGCCAUCGCUCAACGGAUAAAAGGUACUCCGGGGAUAACAGGCUGAUACCGCCCAAGAGUUCAUAUCGACGGCGGUGUUUGGCACCUCGAUGUCGGCUCAUCACAUCCUGGGGCUGAAGUAGGUCCCAAGGGUAUGGCUGUUCGCCAUUUAAAGUGGUACGCGAGCUGGGUUUAGAACGUCGUGAGACAGUUCGGUCCCUAUCUGCCGUGGGCGCUGGAGAAUUGAGGGGGGCUGCUCCUAGUACGAGAGGACCGGAGUGGACGCAUCACUGGUGUUCGGGUUGUCAUGCCAAUGGCACUGCCCGGUAGCUAAAUGCGGAAGAGAUAAGUGCUGAAAGCAUCUAAGCACGAAACUUGCCCCGAGAUGAGUUCUCCCUGAGACUUUAAGUCUCCUGAAGGAACGUUGAAGACGACGACGUUGAUAGGCCGGGUGUGUAAGCGCAGCGAUGCGUUGAGCUAACCGGUACUAAUGAACCGUGAGGCUUAACCUU